CUGUAAAGCUAAGUGGAGACAUGGGGUACACUGUGGACCAAACUUAGAAUUAAUUUGGAGUAAAGGGGCAUAAUAAAAAGGUGCAUGAGGUUGUACAUCUUUCAGAAUAUGUAUGUGGGUAGGAAAAUUGAGCUGAAAAAUGAAAUAUCUGAUCCCAGAUGAUAAUUUCUUCCCCACUAUUUAUUCCUGGUCAAGGUUUUGUUUUUUCGUUUUUUUCUUUUUUUCUUUUCCUUCCAGCAUCAGCCAGGUACAGAACAAGAGGAAAUAAUGAUUUAGUUAUUGCUCCAAUGCUAAAGUUUGACAGUCAUCCAGAGCAGGUUCCACUGUUCGUCCCUGCAUGUCUUGGGCCUUAGCAGCUGUGCACAGAGCACCAUGGCUCCAAGGGCCAGAGUGGGGGCCAGUGCUGGACGCCUGAAUUGUAAGCGAGAGAGAUGAAAGGCUUCUUCUCAUGUAAUAACUGACGGCCCUCACUGCCGUUUGAACUGUUUACAGACUGAGUUAACGAUUACAAGCAAUGUAAUCAGAAAAUUCUUACCCACCCGUCAGAUAGUAUCAAAGAGCCCUUCCAUGCCUGGCUGGAGUCCUUCCAAAGCACCUCACAGAGAUGCCGACACAAAAGGAGGAGUGUUCAGAACGUGUUCUCUCUCUUCUGAAGCCAGAGGAAGACAGAGUAUCAGGCAGGAAUCAGGUGCUGAGGGGGCCGAGUUUCCAGGACUCCUCAGGACUGGGGAAAGGGUCAAGUCAUAGGGGAUCUUGAGACAGAAUUACCAGUCAUUUGAAUGACUACUGAAAAAAAUGAAAAGGCAUUCUAAUGCAUUUAUGACUGCACCUCUCAUUUGGCAUUCAUCACAUACAGCUUUCUGCUGUUUUCCUCGUUGGACUAGGCCUUUCAGUGGAACCACCAGGAUGAACAGUUGUGAGCAUUUCCCCAUUGAUGCACAGCUUCACUUAGUACUUGGAGAGCACUGUUCCUUUACUACGCAGAACCAGAUCUUUAUCAGACACCAAUUCUUACACCUAAGGCCAUCUUCGG